rnacentral:rRNA from 1 species
UACGUAGGGGGCAAGCGUUGUCCGGAAUCAUUGGGCGUAAAGCGCGUGUAGGCGGUUCGGUAAGUCGGCUGUGAAAGUCCAGGGCUCAACCCUGGGAUGCCGGUCGAUACUGCCGGACUAGAGUUCGGAAGAGGCGAGUGGAAUUCCCGGUGUAGCGGUGAAAUGCGCAGAUAUCGGGAGGAACCUCGAAAGUGAAGGCAGCCGACUGGGGGGAUGAUUGACGCUGAGGGACGGAAAGCGUGGGGAGCGAACAGG